UCUCGAUCCAGGAGUAGGGAGCGGAAGAAAUCGAGAUCCAGAAGCAGAGAGAGGAAGAAAUCGAGAUCCAGAAGCAGGGAAAGAAAACGGCGGAUCAGGUCUCGUUCCCGCUCAAGAUCAAGACACAGGCAUAGGACUAGAAGCAGGAGUAGGACAAGGAGUAGGAGUCGAGAUAGAAAGAAGAGAAUUGAAAAGCCGAGAAGAUUUAGCAGAAGUUUAAGCCGGACUCCAAGUCCACCUCCCUUCAGAGGCAGAAACACAGCAAUGGAUGCACAGGAAGCUUUAGCUAGAAGGUGUGUAUAUUUCUUAAUUCAUUUGUUCUGGUUCGCCUUUAAAUAAAUGCUCAAUUGUGUGGAUAAGAUGAAUUCUUUCAGUAAGAGAAUGAUUCACAUACUUUAGUAAUAUGGUGGCAUAUUUGUGAUCUAGAACUAUGUAAAUAGUUUAAUUCUUAUUCUAAACAUUUGCACAACUAUAAGAUUGAGAUGUCUACAAUUUGUUUUUUCCUUCAUGAUUUAACUGAUUUCAUUUUUCUCAAAUUUAGACUCCCAAAUAUUUUCAGUUUGCAUUUGAAACUUUUUUUUUUUGAGUCUUAAAUCUGGUUCAAGAACUAUUAUUUUCUCAUC
rnacentral:sRNA from 1 species